AUUGCUUUUUGGCCUUUUGGCUAAGAUCAAGUGGAAUAUCGGUUCUUACCUGUUUAAAAACUAAACCUUUUGAAGGAAAUUCACAGAGUGACGCAGGUGUCAGUGAUGGCAUGGCAUAAAAUGA
ensembl:snRNA U2 U2 spliceosomal RNA